rnacentral:rRNA from 1 species
GAUGAACGCUAGCUACAGGCUUAACACAUGCAAGUCGCGGGGCAGCAUGGGGGUUGCUUGCAACCCCUGAUGGCGACCGGCGCACGGGUGAGUAACGCGUAUCCAACCUGCCCUUCACCACCGGCUAACCCGGCGAAAGUCGGACUAAUACCGUAUGUUGUCCAUUGACGGCAUCCGAUUGGGACGAAAGGCUGGGCGGUGGAAGGCGAGGGAUUCGUCCGAUUAGGUUGACGGCGGGGUAACGGCCCACCGUGGCUACGAUCGGUAGGGGUUCUGAGAGGAAGGUCCCCCACACUGGAUCUUAGACACAGUCCAGACUCCUACGGGAGGCAGCAGUGAGGAAUAUUGGUCAAUGGGCGUUAACCUGAACCAGCCAAGUAGCGUGCAGGCUGACGGCCCUGUGGGUUGUAAACUGCUUUUAUGCGGGGAUAAAGUGGCCCACGUGUGAGCUUUUGCAGGUACCGCAUGAAUAAGGACCGGCUAAUUCCGUG